rnacentral:lncRNA from 1 species
AUUUUAUUAAUAAUUUAUUGUCAGUAAGAAAGACUGGCUAAUGGUAGUUUUUCAGUAAAAACCUUUACAAGACCAUUGCAUCACAAAUAUACAGACACUAUAAAAACUGUGUCAUGGUGGUUUUGGUUCUAAACAAGUAUGCAGAAGGUCCCCAUUACACUUUCCAAUAAUGAAAAAUGUUUAUAAUUCUAAAGUACAGAAUGACAUGUCCAUGUAUCAGAACUGUUCUAUGUACAGCUAGAAUGAUUAUACUGAAAUGUAGUAAUGAAAUGCCAUAGUUCAGUUGAAAAGGACAUGUCGUGAAACCCUGGUUAUAUUAAAAAAUCAGGGUGCUGGGUAACGUUGCUAACACCAUCAAAAUUCGGUCAAAAACAGAUGCACAAAAUAGGUUGAAAAAUCUAGUUAAAACUAUGAAAAAAAUCAAAUCUGUACAUAAAAUUUACAAAGAAAAGACAAAUUAAAAUAAUCAAAUCUAUAUAAAUACAUGAGUCAUGCUAACAAGAGAGUAGAGCUGAUUUUCGUCUCAUUAUUUUAACAGACAAAUGUAAAUACAAAGAGAUGCACAGAAGUGGCACAGCCGACAUAAAUCUCAUCCCAGGACAGUAGGUUAGAACACAGGAAAUGGCUAACAGGUCAAGAGGCGUGGGGCUCAGUGCAGCCAUGCCCAUUUCAGCUCACCGGAGAAAGCGCAAAAGCACUGCUGCAAAGAACGAUGCAGGAGGAGAUCACUGCUAGAAUCUCUAGGUUCACGAUUAGGCACUUUGGGGGGAGUCUGAGCGUUAGACCUCCGUAUGCUGUCGCGAAUCGAGCGGAGGGAUGGUCACCUCUUCCAAGUGGCCGUCGUCCCCACUCUCAUAGUCACUCAUCAUAACCUCAGACUCCACUUCACAGCACGCUGACACAUCGGAGCAGGAAGCCGUGGAGGCGUACGUGGACAUGGGCAGGUUCUCUACAGUGGGGGCUUCGAAGGUCCUUUGAUACCCCGGAGGGUAGGCGGCGUAGGGUUCCCUUCGAGUACUGUUCUCACCAGGGCCUGCUUUGUGAGGUUCCGACAUAUCGACGGGAUAGAAAUUGGGUAGAUACUGAUUCAAGUUGAACCUCUGCCGGUUUCUCGAAGAAGAACCCAAGCUCCCUGCAGCGGGCAUGUCUCUGGGAGGGUGUAUGGAUUCGAACUGGUCACUGAACUCUGGAGGUAAGGGCGGCAGCUCGUCAGGCGCAGGGAAGUCCUCCGGCGGUGGCGGAAAGUCACUCUCAAUGUCGUAACCGCCAGGGUAAUAGUCUGUGUCGAUGGCGUUUGGGUCUGCUGAGUACAGGGGUGUCUGCUCAUCAAUAACCUCGUAAUUGGGGAACUCUUGUAUAUCUGGCAGAGGAACACUUGGCAUCCAAUCCGAUGUAUCCCAAUGAUACCCUUUGUCGAAGUCCCAAUUAGGCUUCUGGAUGGAGUCACUGUCCGAAGGAGAGUUGGAAGGCGGCGGGGGAGGCAGGUUGGGGGCCACGCUGCAGACGGCCACGGCCUUCCGGUGCCCGUGCACGGACUCGGGGUUAAAGGUGCUGAAUUCGGGGUGCUCG